rnacentral:lncRNA from 1 species
AACUUGGGGUGGGAAAGGGGAGGUAGCAAUUUUUGAAGUAUUUUAGCCAUUUUUUUCAUUUAAAGAAACCACUUGUCCCCAUUUCCUCUUCUCCACUUUCUCAUAAUUUUGUUUUAAGAGGAACACUGGUUGUUUUUUAUACUUCUCCUAAUCUUUAAAAACUGCAUAUUGUUAAGACCCCAGUGUAUUUAAUAGGUAUUUUAUAAGCAUAGCCCAUUGGCUCAUGUUAGUGAAACCAUAAUCCUCUUUGCUUAGAACAUUAAACUCAUAAGAAGUACUACAAACCCCACCACUCUUUAUAGAUGUAUUGUACCACUAAUAUAAACAGCUAAAAAAUGGGGAAAUUGUAAUGUUACGCCUGUGCAAUUUUUAAGUGGCAUAUUAUGGCAGAUUAAAAUUUAGAUACUUGGCUUUUCUUGGGCAAGCCACUAAGUUGUGGCGGAAUGUUUUCUGGUGUUCUUGGACUGCAAUUAUGCACUAUUAAAGUAGUGGCCUGCUACAUAACUGCAUUUAGCCAGCAUUUCUGCAGUGCGUAACUGUGAGGAACGUAGUACCGCAAAUGGCAAUGGACAUUAGGACCCGGAUGUAGUAUUCCUGCUUGCUCCAAGAUUCUCAUUGCCGACUGCAUACAGGUAGGUAACAAGCAAUAUAAUCUAACUUGGUGACUUGUAUGUACUUUUAUUCCGUGGGCAUUCUGGCAUCACAUUUCUGACAAUGAAAUUACAGUGCAGCACCUAACACUUGUAUGGUAAAGCUAGCUUACAUCAAAACUGUGUGGGUGUGGGGUUAGAGCUGUAAUUUGUCAGGCAGAAUUCAGUGCUGUUGCAGUUCUCAGAUAAAAAGUGCAAACUUGAUUCUUUGGUAUAUCUGACUCAGUUGUGUGGUUUCCUUUAGUUGCAUUGUAACUGAAGAUAACAUGGAACACAUCAGUGGUGUGGGGGAGAGGGAACUAAACUAUACUUGGGAACUAGGGUGCUUUUAGCACCUUGACAUGGACCGUAUAGCAUGUGAUAAUUAGUCUCUAUUGUAGCAAACUGACCUGCCCAUAGAUCGGCAAUAUCAGUAAUUUCAUUAUGCAAUCUUGGUAAUUCUACAAGUUGAGUUGAACUAAAAGUACAGGUUUUUUUGUAAUGCGAUUUAAAAUUUUUAAAAACAUGGGCUUCAUGAAAACACCAUUGUUACUAACUUGGGCUUAGAUGGGAAUCUAAUGUGAAUAGUUCAAGUUAUGGGACUUGUCUAAAUGUGUCUAUACUCUAAACCUGGGGGAAGGUGGUGUGGAACAUUGACUUGACUACAGUCGAAUACAUGUUGGGAAUCAUUCCCAAUCAUAAGACAUCGUCGUUUCUGUAGGAUGACUGCAUAUGUUCAGAGUAGCUUUUUGAAUUUGGUUCCCUUAGCUUUAGGGAUGUGAUGUUAUAGUCCAAAAUGUUUACAAGAAAACCUAAGUCUUCAAAAGCACAACUUUUGUUGCUUAGGACUUUGCAUCAACUGUUGUUCCAGACCUCACUUCAACUUCUUGGUCUCUGAACUGGUUUUAGCUAGCAUGCAUGAGAGACAGUUUUCAUGUAUAAUGUUUCUGCUCUGUAACUGGAAAGUGGUUUACUUUGCAUAAAUGCUGAUGAAAACUUCAUGACUAUGAGACUUUUCUUCUGUGUAUCAAGAAAAAGCUUGCUCGUUGGCAAGCAAUUCACAAGGUGGGGACAGACUUGUACUUUAACAUGUAGUCCAUUCAAGCAAACAACUUUGGACUCUACUGAUAGAUGAAAGAGCAAAUGAUGACUAGUUUAGCCUCUGCAUAUCAACAAUAUAAUGCAGAUCAAGUAUAAUGCUCAAUAUUAGUGACAUGAGUAUCACUAAAUUACAUAGAACCCUGAUGGGGUUUCCUGUGUCGUAAUCCAUUAAAUCGGUGGCCAGUGCUUGCUGCCGUGGUUUAGUGAUUGGGUGUUAGAAAUAAAAACUCAGGUCUAUUUCUUACCAGUCAGUAACAAUUUUUAGAGAAUGUACUUGGUAUAUAAUAUAUGGACUUCAGGAACUUUAUUGGGGUGGGGGGUUAAUUUUGCCUUACCCUGUUCACUUUCAGAUGAUUAGGCUUUUGCACUUUAGAAUGAGAAACUUGUGACGUUAGUGUGUUCUUACUAGCUUUAAUUUGUAUGUAGCAAUGAAUUGUGAAUCUUAGUGCAGUGGGUUUUUUUAAAAAACUCAAAAAGCUGGGAAUUAAGUGGUUUCAGUAAUAAUGCUAUACCGAGGUGCUUGCAUUGUAUUUCAUAAUUUUGUUACAAACCAAAAUUAUUUUUAAUGAGAACAGUCUUGGGUUCAGAGGUGUGAUGCCAGAAUGUAUUUUCGUACUGUUAGGCCCUUGGAACAGAUACCGGUGCUUUCUGAAAGAUGAAAGAAAUGCAAUGGGUGCUCUUCAUGCAAGGUUGCAAACCUACCAAGAAUGCAUAAUAGUCUCACUUUUCCCCAAUAAAGAGAUGCGUGUGACUAGUUUUGGACUUUUAACCUUAAUGGGGGUUGCAUGUCUCCUAUUGUUAAUCAUUGUCAGCUGCAGUGACAUGAUCCACAGUCCUGCAUUUACUGCCUUUCACUUAAUGAUUUUGGACAGGUUUUAGAGAGCCAGGAUGUUGGUCUGGGCCUUUAUUUGGUUUUGGCUUUAGCUGAUAAUGUUUUAGUGAUGUCAGCUAGUGCAGUUCUCAAAUGGCUGCCUAUUAGGGAAAGAAUUCAGAGGAUUUGACUGCUCCUAAUCAUCUGUCAUUGCUGCUAGAUAAUGAUUGGCAAUUUUUAAGACUCAACUGGAAAUCUCAACAGUUGCUGGUAAACCAUUAACCAUAAAAACGUUGCUUUUGAACACCAGUGCUGAAAAAAAUAUUUUUUUUUUUUUUUUUGAGAGUGAAAAGGGCUUGGACUUAAGAUAGGACAAUGUGGAGAAUGGGGGGAAGAAUGCAAAACGAUAUAGUAUCCCUUAUGGAUGGUACAUGUGCAACAGGGAACUCUUACUUCAUAUACCCUUUGCAGUAAUCAUUCAGGGAGGAAGAAAAACCUGGAACUUGAAUGAAGGCUGAUCUUUGUUUUGUGCACUGUGGCCCUGCCAGGCAUAUAGUGAAGGUGAAUGUCUUCUCCCUCAGAAAAAAAUUGGUUCCUUGCUGUCCCAGUAAGGCAUAGCUUUUCCAGCCCUAACUUUAAAACUCAGUGAGGACUUAGAUGGGAAAGAAUGAGGUAAAUACAAAGGAUUGCAGGACAACAACUACAGCGUUGUGUACUGUGGGAAGGGGAGUUGGGCACUCUUGGAGGACUCCUGCUGAAGGUGGUCAGCCUGCCUGACAAUGGAAGACAUACUUGAAUGGGGAGCAGGGUAUGUGCUUUCAUAUGAAAAAAGAGCUGAUGUUAAAACUCAUUUGGUGAGGUCAACGUUGUCACAUACCUUCACAUAAGGGAUAGUAUAUUUUGGGUUGCAGUCAAACUUGUGCUCAGACUGGUGAAACUGAGAGUCAGGCUUUUACAUUUUAAAGAAAAUACAGUUUUCAUUCUAAUUCAGGUGUCUACUUAUUUUAUGUAAGAAUAAUUUUAGAUUUCCCCCCCACCAUGAAGUUUCUUCCUAUUUUUUUAUGCUGUAACUUACCCCCAAUCUUUAUCUCUGGAUUUUUACUCUUUAAAUUUUGAAGUUGACUAGCAUUUUCAAACCUUUAUUUUAUACCCUUGUCUUUUAUAUUAACUUUUUCUUAUUAUUCUUUAGGUAAGAAUGAUUGAUGUUGGCUGAUAUUGGAGUGCUCAUUCACAUGAAGUGGAUAGAUACUUCUCAAGACAUCACACAGCGUGAGUCAAUCAAGGAGGGAAGCCACAAGCAGACUGACAACGUUUCUAGCAGGAUCAGGUGAGCUGUGUCCAGAAAACCAACGAGAAGGAGUGGAAGGAGGAAUGAACGUUUCAUUCUCGUUAAUAAAGGCAUUAUCCUA